rnacentral:rRNA from 1 species
UACGUAGGGGGCAAGCGUUGUCCGGAUUUAUUGGGCGUAAAGAGCUCGUAGGCGGCUUGGCAAGUCGGAUGUGAAAACUCCAGGCUCAACCUGGAGCCGCCAUUCGAUACUGCUAUGGCUAGAGUCCGGUAGGGGAGUGUGGAAUUCCCGGUGUAGCGGUGAAAUGCGCAGAUAUCGGGAGGGACACCGAUGGCGAAGGCAGCACUCUGGGCCGGCACUGACGCUGAGGAGCGAAAGCGUGGAGAGCGAACAGG